rnacentral:rRNA from 1 species
GGUUAAGUUAGAAAGGGCGCACGGUGGAUGCCUUGACACUAGGAGUCGAUGAAGGACGGGACUAACGCCGAUAUGCUUCGGGGAGCUGUAAGUAAGCUUUGAUCCGAAGAUUUCCGAAUGGGGAAACCCACUAUACGUAAUGGUAUGGUAUCCUUACCUGAAUACAUAGGGUAUGGAAGACAGACCCAGGGAACUGAAACAUCUAAGUACCUGGAGGAAGAGAAAGCAAAUGCGAUUUCCUGAGUAGCGGCGAGCGAAACGGAAUCUAGCCCAAACCAAGAGGCUUGCCUCUUGGGGUUGUA